GGUGACAGUCGGCCAGUGGAGCGCCAGCACCCCCACAUUGGUAGUCUUAAUCCUGUUUGACCCCCACGUACCUGAAUUGUGAUGGCGGAAGUGGGGUGUGCACUCCUCAACGAAAGCACGAUGAGCGACAUGCAACGUCUCCAGUGGCCUGUUCUUCAGUCACAAGAAUGAACUGCAUUCUAGAUGGUGGAGCUUCUGCCAGCCUGGGUUAGGGAGUGACCACGUGGAACAAAGAACAUCAGCUCCUCCCCCUGAACUCCCCAACUUCAACCAAAUUGUGAGACAGGCACACAUCUGGAGAAGGGAGAGAAAGCUGAACUAAGCAUACAAGAGGAAUUUUGGCUCACAUGGCCAGCAUCAAAGUUAUUAUCAUCUUCAUCAUCUAUGGAUGAGUAAUCUGAUGAUUCACCUUCAACCUCUUCU
ensembl:lncRNA